rnacentral:piRNA from 1 species
UAAUGAAAGAUGUAAACAAUCCCUU